AUUGAACGCUGGCGGCGUGCUUAACACGUGCAAGUCGAACGUGAAAGUCCUUCGGGGCGAGUAAAGUGGCGCACGGGUGAGUAACGCGUGGAUAAUCUACCCUUAAGAUGGGGAUAACGGCUGGAAACGGUCGCUAAUACCGAAUACGCUCCCGAUUUUAUCGUUGGGGGGAAAGAUGGCCUCUGCUUGCAAGCUAUCGCUUAAGGAUGAGUCCGCGUCCCAUUAGCUAGUUGGCGGGGUAACGGCCCACCAAGGCGACGAUGGGUCGCAGAUCAGAGAGGAUGACCGGCCACACUAGAACUGGAACACGGUCCAGACUCCUACGGGGGGCAGCAGUGGGGAAUAGUGCGCAAUGGGCGAAAGCCUGACGCAGCGACGCCGCGUGAGGGAUGAAGGUUCUCGGAUCGUAAACCUCUGUCAGGGGGGAAGAAACCCCCUCAAGUGAAUAAUGCGAGGGCUUGACGGUACCCCCAAAGGAAGCACCGGCUAACUCCGUGCCAGCCGCCGCGGUAA
rnacentral:rRNA from 1 species